UCCGUGUACCCAUCGCGCUCCCGCACGAGACGGACUGACGGAGACGGACACGGACCGGGUAACGCUCCCAGAUCGCCGCCGCCUAGCCCUAAAAAAAAAAGGACCGCCGCCGCGUAGCCUUUCGCCGCCGGGUUCGACGAGGGAGCCGGGGCACGCAAGCCGGCCUAUACCCUAUAGAGAGACUGGUCCGGGGAUGUUCGGGGAUGCGGGCCAGCAGCGCGGCAACGUCGUGGGUGGUGGGGCGGACGCGCAUCUCCUCUACGACGACCCGCUGUCAUCCCGGCGCUCCUCGGCUCCCGCUUCGACGGCGAUUAGGUCGACGCUCAAGCGCCUCCUCGCCCUCAUCACGCAGGGCUUCUACGUCGCCCACCUCUCCCGGCAGGCGGUCAAGAACGUGCCGGCAUAGUCGCUCGAGGUGAAGAAGCACGUUUACCUCUACCUGCUCCGUUACGCCGCGAAUGUCUUGGGCUCUUCACAGGAUGAACCAUACGCAAGAAGACCUCUGGUUGGUCAACCAGCAUGAUAUCACUAACAAUAUUCCUUCCAUAAGAAGGAUGGAUGUUUUGCCAGUCGAUUACAUCUUCAAUUUGAGAAAGAGUGCACGGCGCUGCAAGCGGGCGACACGACCAAAGACACGUGCACACCCGAGACAGACACAAGCUCUCUCAUUGGACAAGGGCCCGCCCAGUGAGUCGAGCAACCUGGUCAAAAUCGGUCACCAAAUCGAAAUUAGUGACCUCAAUCGAUUGUGAGCCUUUCCACCUCUAGGGAGCUUAGUGAUUUAAAGGAUAAUCUUCUGAUGUCGUGGACACUUGCGUUUGACACUUGUGCACAAUCUUGAUUCUAGAUGUGAAUAAUCCUAUUGAACAGACAUGAUGCAUUUUUAUUCAGGCAAGCUAUUUUGUUUGGGGAAGUCUGAAAUCUGUAUAAUGCUUCUCUAGAAAAACUCCCGUCUGCGUUCAUCUUAAGCUUGAUCAUCUUCUGAUUCCGAAGAUGAAGAAGAACAUAGCAUAGGAUCUUCUUCAAUGCUGUUAAGAAGAGAGUGGAUGCUCUUCUUCCUCUUCUUCUUGGCUACUGCAGAUCUCUUUCUUUUUCUUCCUUGUGUUUGUGAUGUUGAAGUCUCCUGUUGAGCUUGGGCUUCAUUACCUAAAUGUUCACCGACAUUGUCAUCAGGAGUGAUCUCAGUAAUGAACUCAUUGUCUUCAUCCUCCAGAACAUCACUGAUGACCUUCUCUAUGGGGUCUCUGUUCUUAUUUUCUCUCUUAUGCUGCAGCCUUGCGUUGAAUUUGACGAAGACAAGAUCCCUCAACCUAUCACUGAGUAGUCUGUUACAUUGUUUUGCAUGAACCUACAUAGUGAAGGAAAAUUGAGUGUAGGUGAAAAUAAAUCAAGGAACACAUGGUCACAUGUGAGAACAGAAAUCAACUAUUUUGUAGACUUUUAGAGUUA